UGGGGAAUUUUGGACAAUGGGCGAAAGCCUGAUCCAGCAAUGCCGCGUGUGUGAAGAAGGCCUUCGGGUUGUAAAGCACUUUUGUCCGGAAAGAAAUCCUUGGCUCUAAUACAGUCGGGGGAUGACGGUACCGGAAGAAUAAGCACCGGCUAACUACGUGCCAGCAGCCGCGGUAAUACGUAGGGUGCAAGCGUUAAUCGGAAUUACUGGGCGUAAAGCGUGCGCAGGCGGUUUGCUAAGACCGAUGUGAAAUCCCCGGGCUCAACCUGGGAACUGCAUUGGUGACUGGCAGGCUAGAGUAUGGCAGAGGGGGGUAGAAUUCCACGUGUAGCAGUGAAAUGCGUAGAGAUGUGGAGGAAUACCGAUGGCGAAGGCAGCCCCCUGGGCCAAUACUGACGCUCAUGCACGAAAGCGUGGGGGAGCAAACAGGAUUAGAUACCCUGGUAGUCCACGCCCUAAACGAUGUCAACUAGUUGUUGGGGAUUCAUUUCCUUAGUAACGUAGCUAACGCGUGAAGUUGACCGCCUGGGGAGUACGGUCGCAAGAUUAAAACUCAAAUGAAUUGACGGGGUC
rnacentral:rRNA from 1 species